CCUGAGGCCCCUGGACAUUAAUUAGUAAGGGCAGGGCUGGGGCAGGUGGGAGCAUAGAAAGAGCAGAAGCUUUUCACUUUCUUCACAGGUUUCCUUAAGGCUGAGACGGUUCUCCUUCAUAACAAGCUCUGAUUUGGGGUGUGCGUUGGGGAGGAAGAGGAUGGAACCCAAGGUUGUUUCUCCUGAGAACAUCUGAUACACUAAACUGAUCAAUGAAGGGAGGAUUUAUACUAUGGGCCAAAAGAAUCAUUAACUUUUAAGGCAGAUUCCUGGCAGGGUUACUUUAACUGGAGGGCAACCUGGCUUGCCUAUCAAAACCACCGCACUUUUAUCUUGCUGAAGGCAGGGAACAGCCGUGGGCGCCUCUGACCUGCCUUCAACCCCUACAGAAAAUGGCAGAAACACAGACUCCUCUUCCUCGGUGGCCGCCCCAGGCCCCACCACCGCUGGCCCCUCCUGACUCAAGCUCUGCGAAUCGGGAGGUUCUUGACACUGUGCAACCACAUCCAAGAAUGAAUGCGACCCUGCGCUUGGUGAAAGGGCAGCUGCUGUGCCCAAGUGCACAACCCCCCGCCCCCGCCGUCAAUUCAGCUGACUUUGGACGGUCCUCCAAUGGUCUCCUGGCUCUCGGAGUUCCCGUCGUGCGUGGCUCAGCGGUUCACGUGCCUGACGCACAUCCCUGAGGAAGUGGGUUCGAUCCCUGGCCUCACUCCGAGGGGAAAGGAUCCGGCGGGGCCGUGAGCUGUGGUGUGGGCCCCAGACACGGCUUGGAUCCCCUGUCGCUGUGGCUGUGCUGGAGGCCGGCAGCUCGGGCUCCGAUGGACGACCACCCCCCCCCACCCCACCCACCGCCGCCCAGCCUGGGAACGUCCAUGUGCUGCGGGGGCGGCCCUCAAAAGACAGAAGACAAAAGACAAAAAAAAAAUCGUUUCUCUCUUCUCAGUGAUCGAUGGAUAAUAAUUCACUUUAUUUAUUAAUUUUUGCUUUUUCUUAUUUCCCUAUCAAUAACUACCUUAUCUUUGCAUUUUUAUUUAGUUUCAACUUUCUAAACUUUCUAGGCUCUCAACAUGAAUUAAACUAUGCCAUAGAUGAUAUGGAAGAGGAAGAGAAAUUGGACACACAUCCAAAGAGAAAUCAGGAGAGGGGAAGGAGAGCCCAUGUCAGGAGGGGAGCAGGGGGAUGGGGUUUGGGGGGAGCUGAUGGGAGGGCACUGGCA
rnacentral:lncRNA from 1 species